UACGGAGGAUGCAAGCGUUAUCCGGAAUGAUUGGGCGUAAAGCGUCCGCAGGCGGCGAUGUAAGUCUGCUGUUAAAGAGUGAGGCUCAACCUCAUAAGAGCAGUGGAAACUACAUAGCUAGAGUACGUUCGGGGCAGAGGGAAUUCCUGGUGUAGCGGUGAAAUGCGUAGAGAUCAGGAAGAACACCAGUGGCGAAGGCGCUCUGCUAGGCCGUAACUGACACUGAGGGACGAAAGCUAGGGGAGCGAAUGGG
rnacentral:rRNA from 1 species